rnacentral:lncRNA from 1 species
GGGUGCCUAACAAGUCUCAUUACAGAGAUUUCUCGUUUGAUUUGAUCAAUCAUCCCAGCCUUCAAGAUCUUCUCCUUGUCAAUUAUCUUAAUGGCCACAUUCAUGCCAGUCUUGAGAUUUCUUGCAUGGUGAACCUUGGCAAAGGUGCCUUGUCCAAGCAAUUUCCCCAAUUCAAACCUUUGCAUUAACACACUUCCUUUAUUUUCCAUCUCUAAAUCUACCAUAACAGGUAAGAGCUAAUUUUCUAUUGCCCCCCACAAACAGUUUUAUAGAUAUUUAUGUCGAGAAAUUAAUACUCAGGAAUGAAGUAACUCAACCAUCUUCACAGAGGUCAUGAUACGAAACAAUUUGUCCUCUAAAAUACUUACCUACACUAGGUACUUGACUGAAAAAAUGGAUAGGGUUGUACGUUAUCUGUCCUAUCUUAUCAAGGAUAAUAUGGGGAAGCUCGUAUGGAGCUUCAACCCCAUCAACCUUAGAGAACGACUGUCUGUCCAGCAAGCACAUUUUUCGGCAUUCCCUGCAAUUUCUUUCAAAGGAACCAUCUUCACAGAGGUCAUGAUACGAAACAAUUUGUCCUCUAAAAUACUUACCUACACUAGGUACUUGACUGAAAAAAUGGAUAGGGUUGUACGUUAUCUGUCCUAUCUUAUCAAGGAUAAUAUGGGGAAGCUCGUAUGGAGCUUCAACCCCAUCAACCUUAGAGAACGACUGUCUGUCCAGCAAGCACAUUUUUCGGCAUUCCCUGCAAUUUCUUUCAAAGAAAAUACAGAAGAAGAUGAGCAAGUAAAAGAUUUUUUCCUCUGGAACACCUAUCAAGUGAAGAAAAAGGUAUGAAUUCCAAAUUCUUCACCGCCAAAUGGAUUAGAUGUCCACCUGCAGAUAUUAGAAACAAGAUAUAUGAAUAUCAAAAUAUUAAUAACAAAAAGAAAGAAUUCUUUACAGAUUCCUAUAAGCAGGAUCACAGUAAAAUAUAUGUCCACAGCAUAUAAAUUUAAUGCACAUAGAAAUAUGGCAGUUAGAAGCAUAUUCGUUGUACCCAUUCUCACCUUGAAACAAUACAAUUUAGCCCCUAUUUGAGAAUAUUUUUUGGGGAAAUGUAUUUUAGAAUAGUGAUUUUCUAAGAAUGUGUGGUUAAAAGAUAGAGAAAAAUUUUUGAUUUACGUAAAAAAUGAGUUUUGAAUAAAUGAAUUUUGGAAAAAAAAGGGGGGGGGGGGGGGGGUAAAAAACCGUGUAGAGUUUUGAUGUCCCCUCAUGACAAUAAGAUGCCCCGACUCACCUUCAAAACUCCACAUUCACCAAAGUUUUUAUGGCCCUAUAUAAGAUUUAGCUCUCAGUUUUGGAAUGUGCAUUCAUCUAUAAAAUAUAACCAUCGAACAUUAUGAUUCUGACUAUACCAAUACCGAUAAUUUUGCAAGGCUUGUUGUUUCACAUAAUCACGGCACCUUUCAAAACUCCUUCAUAUGUUGUAAACCAGUCCUUGUUGGGACAUAUAUGGAAAAUACAUGCCAAGUCAAGAAUCUAUUCCUCAUAAGGUUUGAAACCUAUGUUAGAAAUUACAAAAAGCUCUUCUCUACUUUGCCCAUAAAUUCCACAACAUCAGUCUCCAUUGUGUUAACAUGUCUUUUUCCUUUAUUAGGAGCGCCAAUAGCUUUAUUUCUAUUUUUCAAUGAAUAGUAAUCAGCUCUUAUAUGCCCAUUCUUCUUACAAUAAUGACAUACUUUCUCUGUAUGUCUAGAUUUUGAUCUACCCCUCAUCUUGACUCCCAGAUUCUCUAACAAGAUGCCUCAUCUUCUUCUUAGAUAGUAAAGCAUUAUAAGCCUCUUCCACAUUGAGAGUAUCCCAAUUAUAGAGAAUAAUAUCUUUAAAAGUAACAUAUGAUGGUGGCAACGUACACAACAUCAUCAAAGCCAAGUUCUUCUCGUCAUACUUAACUUCCAAUAUCUCCAAAUUGGCUACGAUUUGAACAUAGUUAAGUGAUCAUCUAAUGCUGCACCUUCAAACAUUCGGUGAGAAUACAAGCGUCGUUUCAAUUGUAACUUGCUAGUCAAAUUCUUUCUCAUACAAUGUUGUUCUAACUUUAACCACAAUGUAGCGGCAUUUUUCUCCUUCAUAUCCUGAAGAAUUUGAUUUGAUAGAUUUAGGUGCAUUUGGGAUUGGACGUUUCCAUCCCUACUCUGUUUCUCAUUCUGCGUCCAAGUUGAAGGCAUCUUAUCAAAGCCAAGCAAGGCUUCCUUCAAGUCCAUCUACGUGAGAAGUGCUCACAUCUUCAUUUGCCAUAUAGUAAAUCUCGUGUUUCGAUCUAUGGUUGGCAUGUGAUAGCUUUGCCGCUCGAGCGCUAGGCAAGCGACAAGCAAACAACAAGUCUCUGUAGAAACUAUACAUGAAUCAUUGGAGAAGCAGGCUAGCGAAAAUGAAACAACUUUUCUUUUCGAUCCAUAAUUUUGACCUCUUUAAAACCAGUUCAAUCAAAACUCCAAUACCCACUCGAAUUUGGAUCAAACUAUAGCUGUAAGCAAACAGAUUGGAGAAAGGUAGUUUGGUUCAAGUUUGGGGCUAUCAGUGAAAUUCUGAAUUAUGUUUUGCUGUUAAUUGUAUCAAGAAACUGUAAGGGAAUUUUAUUCCUGAUGAUAAUGCAACCAGCAAUAGCACUUUUGAUGGCAAAGGCAGUGGAAGUAGUGGCAGCAAUAGAGUGGAAGUGGUGGUGCCGGUAAUGUCGGUCCCACCACAUUUACCAGGCAUAGAAGACAAUGUAUAGGCACCACUGAUUUUCUUUUGAAGUUUCUCUUGAAACAUGCAUGAAGGCUGCAACUGCUGUUUUAUUUUGAUUUCUUUUUCUCUGCGCAUAACCCUACAGUAUUUGAUAAUUGAUAGUAAUAACAAUACUUUUGAAUUUAUACAACAGUAGCUGUAUUUUACAGAUAAUGAUACGUACCAUACCUCGUAUCCAUUGUUUAUAGCUGCUAAAAGAUGAUUUUGAUAUCUAAAUAUAAUUCGCUACAACUUUCCUCUAUCUAAUGCUAGUGUCGGCCUUCUAAUCCCAAUUUCAACUCUUAGCCCAACUAGAAUUUAAAAAAAAGAAGAAGAAGGGGGAUUGUAACAAACAGAUGCCCACAAGGCUUAGCAAACUGAAAAAAGAAAAAUUAUACAGAAAUGGACUAACCGAAACAAGUCAUUUAGUACUCAAAAUAAGCAUCAGAAACACCAAUUUUCCAGAAAUUAGACUGUAUGUAAGAAGACUAGUUAAAAUCAGGCCCGAAAUAUGUUCUCUUCAUUAUCAAUUUGGAUGCGUGACAACAUCCAGUUGUGUAACUAGUGAUGGCCGUACCUCUGGUUGUUCUUGUUGCUGCAGGGGCUGUGAGUGAUCACCUUGCCAUGUCCAAACAAUGUCCUUUAAUGAUGGCCUUAUGUCCUGCUUCAUCAUCUUCUGAUAUUCCAGUGUGUCUCCAUUGGAUUUCUUCAUCUCGACUAAAUAAAAACUUGGAGUAACCUCAAAGAUUUCUGCAUCUAUAGACAAAACUCCCUUCCUGCCUUCCUUUGAUCCUUCAAAUUUUAACAAUCCUCCAUCCUUCUUCGAUGCUUUCAGAUUUAGACGCUUUGCUACUUGCUCUAAUUUGGAGACGAUGGUCUUGGAAGGUUGCUUAGAUGUAAAACGGGCUUCUUUCUUUUGAUCAUUUUCCUCGAACAAGCUGGACAAGUCAAAACCGGGUGAAAGGGAGAUGAUAUCGAAGGCAUUCAAGUUUGUAUGCGUUGCAAAAUCUAGUUUCACACCUGUUGUGCUCUUGUUCUCCACAAAACUGAACAUUGUUUCAGCAUCAACUACUGCUUUUUUUACAUCCAUGUCUUGAAUCAGAGAAUCAGCACUACUUUUCGUGACUUUGGAUGGGAAACCCUUACGAAACCAAAAAUUUUCUAUGAUUUUGGAUAUGGAAAUCCUGGUGUUUGGAUUUGGAUCCAGUAUUUUUGAAAUCAGCCUGCGAACAUCAGGAGGAAUCCAGUUAGGAUAUUUGAACUCUGCCUUGCUGAUUUUUCUAUACAUCUCCAUCAGAUUUGAAUCAUGGAACGGGAGAUAUCCAGCUAAUAGAACAUAUAAGAUCACACCACAUGACCAGAUAUCAGCUUUGGCACCAUCAUAGCCCCUCCUGUUGAUCACUUCGGGAGAAACAUAGGCAGGUGUCCCACAUGUUGUGUGAAGUAAACCGUCCUGCCGCUUGGAUUCCGCAAGAGCACUCAAUCCAAAAUCUGAGACUUUUAGGUUUCCAUUUUCAUCCAAAAGCAGGUUCUCAGGUUUAAGAUCCCUGUGAUAAACACCUCUACUAUGGCAGAAAUCAACUGUACUUAUCAGCUGUUGAAAAUAUUUCCUUACAACAUCUUCUUUCAGCUUCCCUUUGGCCACCUUGUUAAACAGCUCACCACCUUUUAUAUAUUCCAUGACAAAAUAUAUCUUAGUUUUGGUGGCCAUAACCUCAUAAAGCUGAACAAUAUUUGGGUGCCUAACAAGUCUCAUUACAGAGAUUUCUCGUUUGAUUUGAUCAAUCAUCCCAGCCUUCAAGAUCUUCUCCUUGUCAAUUAUCUUAAUGGCCACAUUCAUGCCAGUCUUGAGAUUUCUUGCAUGGUGAACCUUGGCAAAGGUGCCUUGUCCAAGCAAUUUCCCCAAUUCAAACCUUUGCAUUAACACACUUCCUUUAUUUUCCAUCUCUAAAUCUACCAUAACAGGUAAGAGCUAAUUUUCUAUUGCCCCCCACAAACAGUUUUAUAGAUAUUUAUGUCGAGAAAUUAAUACUCAGGAAUGAAGUAACUCAACCAUCUUCACAGAGGUCAUGAUACGAAACAAUUUGUCCUCUAAAAUACUUA